CUGACAAGGUCAAAGGCAAAGAGAAGGGCGCGGCCCAGGUGUCGGAAAGUCAGAUUUGCAGUCCUGAGAGAGAGAGAAUUAUAUAUUUAGAAAAGGAGAAUAGCAGCCUCAGGGCGGCGGUCGAUAGGCUUACGCUAGAGCUAGCAGAACUCCGCAGCGAAAUCACUCGUCACAAGUCCGCUUCGCCUGACGGUUCGUCGGUUAAUGAGGUUCCGAACUCUAUGGAGGUGGUAACGCCAGAAGGAGGGGCCCACGACUGUCCGGCUCCCAAAAAGAGGGCCCUCGAUCAGUCGAACCAGUUACAAAUCAAGGCAAAGUCUGAGAUUAAGGAGGCUCUCU